rnacentral:rRNA from 1 species
GAUGAACGCUGGCGGCGUGCCUAAUACAUGCAAGUCGAGCGAACAGACGAGGAGCUUGCUCCUCUGACGUUAGCGGCGGACGGGUGAGUAACACGUGGAUAACCUACCUAUAAGACUGGGAUAACUUCGGGAAACCGGAGCUAAUACCGGAUAAUAUAUUGAACCGCAUGGUUCAAUAGUGAAAGACGGUUGUGCUGUCACUUAUAGAUGUAUCCGCGCCGCAUUAGCGAGUUGGUAAGGUAACGGCUUACCAAGGCGACGAUGCGUAGCCGACCUGAGAGGGUGAUCCGCCACACUGGAACUGAGCCACGGUCCAGACUCCUACGGGAGGCAGCAGUAGCGAAUCUUCCGCCAUGGGCGCAAGCCUGCCGGAGCCACGCCGCGUGAGUGAUGAAGGUCUUCGGAUCGUAAAACUCUGUUAUUAGGGAAGAACAAAUGUGUAAGUAACUAUGCACGUCUUGACGGUACCUAAUCAGAAAGCCACGGCUAACUACGUG